rnacentral:lncRNA from 1 species
GCCAAGAUUAAUCAAUAUGGUUCAUCAACAAAAAUUAUAAGAACAUUCAAUAGGACCGAGUUGAUCAGUCUAGUAGGCAACCCGGGCACCAAGGCGGAUCACGACUCUUUGCAGGGUCAAUUCGAAUUCGUAGAUCAGGUCGACAAGACCCGAUACUGGAUUCCAUAGAUAUUCUAGAGAGAGAAAGUAGAGAGUAGAAAGAGGAGAGAGAAAAUAGAGAAGAGGGAAGAAUCCUUCUUCUUGUGUCUCUUCUUCCUUCCCCCUCGCCGGUAAUAGGUGGCAGCAACGGCGACCCAACUGCCCACCUGACGGCAGUCUCGGACGGCCGCAACUUCGGCCAAACCCAGCAGUCAAUGGUGGCUAAUCAUUGCGGAAGAAGACCAAAAUAGAGGUGCUCUGUUUCGGAUGAAGCUCCGGCGAUUGCCGGCUCAAAUCAAAGGGAACGAAUGCCCAAAACACUAAAGAAGAAAGAGGAGGAGAUGAAGAACUCAUAUCUCGGUCCGACUUGGCUUUCCAACGACUCCUCUCAGCGGAAGUUGAAGGAAGAAUCUCGAGAAGGAAGCUUGAAAUCUGGAGAAGGGCUCAAGCAGAUAUCGGACCACAUGUCUGGCUGCCAAGGCCUCUCUUCCCACAAGUAAAGAGCAAAUGCCUAAGCUCUUACUGCUGCAAGGGUCACAGUGCACCUCCCAAGCCACCAAGUAAACACCUCCCCUUCCGUCUUGCAUUUUUCGAAGAAAUUUUCCAAACAUCCGGACAACAACUUAAGCAGAUUGGUAUUGGACAAGAGAUAGACC